GUUGUGGUGGUGAUAGCACGUUUGUCUUUUGCUGCUGAUCUUCCAGUACCCUGACCCGGCUGACUCUCCACUCCUGUCAUGGCUCCCCAUCCAUCCUGAAGCUGAACCCCAGAUGGGAGCUGAUGGAUUGUCCUUGGUGGGCCAUGUUCUUGUGUGUGAUGAGAGGGCCAGGAGCAGAUGCACCACGCCUGGCCAGGACUGGGCUAAACAUCCUGUAAUGCUAGACAGUCGGCCCGUGAGGCCAGUUUGCAGAAUGGGGAAGAGCCCUUUGGCGAGGCGUUGGAAGAUUCACCAUGAAGAUGGCAGCAGCCGCAGUGCCUGGGUCCCCAUGGGCCAAGCCUCCACUCCUGCCAAUCCAGGCUAAUCUCCCGCUGCUCUCAGUGGGGCUUGGCUUUAGCUGCUGGGCCUGUGAGCCUAGACCAGGGGUCUCAAACUCACAUGACCACGAGGGCUGCAUGAGGACUAGCUCAUUGGCCCGAGGGCCACAUCACUGACACCCCCCCUCGCUGCCCCCAGCCCUGCCCCCAGAGGGGGCUGGAGGAGUGUGGCAGGGG